UAUACUCUAGUGUAUCUGGCACGUAAGACUUUGAUUCUUAAGGUAAUGGGCCACUCCCAUUGAGUAUAA
rnacentral:tRNA from 1 species